AUAGCUUUCAAGAUUUUCUCUCUUAUUCUCUCUUACAUAGCAGAAGCCCUAAAAUUCCACUAGGGUUCUUUGAAAACCUUCCUUCCAAGUUAAAGGGAUCAAGCUAUUGAAGAGAUAUACAUUAAGGGAAUAAACUACCACCGAAAUUAAGAUUAGUAGUCUAAAAGGGAAGACGUUAAGUGAAAGUGUGAUCAGUUGUGCAGCAAGUCACUUCAUGAUACAAGCACAAUGUGCCUCAAGAGCACAAGAUAUUGUCUAAGGUUCAAGGCUUCGGAAUCGGCAAGCAAUUAAAGACUUUUUGGAGUAUUUUGAAGCCUUGGUCAAGAGAAAGAAGGAGGGGAAUUUAUACACUCCAUAGGCACCUCAAAGGAAGGACAAUGAAGACUUUUUACACUCUAAAAGAGCACUCUAUAGGUGCCUCCUUUUAAGUCCUCAUCAAUGGCACUUUUGUCCUUCGGUAUGUAUUAGUAUAAAUAGGCCAUUUAGCUUGUAUUUUCAUUAGACUUUGAUGGAUUCAAAUUGAGUAUUACUCAUAUUUUGUAGCUUUAGUCUGGUUGUUGUAUCUCUUAGAACCAAAACUUGGUCCAUGAACAUUUGAAAGUUAGGAUUUUCACUUGUGUUGGAUGAUUUGGUAAGAAAGAUGUGCUUGAGGAAGUGUGAGUCCUUUGG